rnacentral:rRNA from 1 species
GACGAACGCUGGCGGCGUGCUUAACACAUGCAAGUCGAACGGAAGGGCCCCCUUGUGGGGUACUCGAGUGGCGAACGGGUGAGUAACACGUGAGUAACCUACCCUUGACUUUGGGAUAACUUCAGGAAACUGGGGCUAAUACCGGAUAGGAGCUCCUGCUGCAUGGUGGGGGUUGGAAAGUUUCGGCGGUUGGGGAUGGACUCGCGGCUUAUCAGCUUGUUGGUGGGGUAGUGGCUCACCAAGGCUUUGACGGGUAGCCGGCCUGGGAGGGUGACCGGCCACAUUGGGACUGAGAUACGGCCCAGACUCCUACGGGAGGCAGCAGUGGGGAAUAUUGCACAAUGGGCGGAAGCCUGAUGCAGCAACGCCGCGUGCGGGAUGACGGCCUUCGGGUUGUAAACCGCUUUCGCCUGUGACGAAGCGUGAGUGACGGUAAUGGGUAAAGAAGCACCGGCUAACUACGUG